UGUUCUGGAGAAAGACACAGAGGAAUGAAGUGGUUUCUAUGGCCACAUCACUUGGUGGCAGAACAAACUAAAUUAAGAACAGGUGGUGUGAAGAGCCUUCAAGGGCCAGAGAACAGUCAGUAAAGAGAAUACGGUUGGUAAAAUAUUGAAGAGCAUCUGAAAGGGCAGUUUGGCUGGGACAGAGAGUAAGAGACGAGGUAGCACAGUUUAAGCUGGAGCCAAGCUAUCCAGAGAACUUCUUUGAAUAUAGCUCUACCCUGGGCAUGAUGAACUCCAAUACGGAGUAAAUGUGCCUUUGCUGCCUGCCAGCUGCCAGCUUCCACUUCCUCCCCACAAGACAAAUGCAUAUGAAGACGGUAUGCGCUCGUCUGGCCUCAUUUAGGUUUUUGUUAGUCAUCCCUGCUGUCGCUGGCCUGUGACCUUGGAAGGACUAUUUGAGCAGCUUGAAUGGAGUGAUCAGCAGAAGGCAAAGAAGCCAACAUAACACAGAGACUGAGACUCUGAGGAAUGUGAUAUGGAGAUGGAAAAAUGGGGUAAGCCUUGGGCUGCAUGGUAGCAAUUUCUCUAGCAGAUCCUAGCAGAAGAAUCCAUCUCACCCUUCUGAGAUCUAUGAAUCCAACUCCCAUCAGGCUAUCUCUGAGGACCUCCAUUUGAGAUUAUUGCACUAGAAUCAAAUGUGUGCAACAAGUUAGCUGGUUAGAAAGCCUGGUUAUGGUUUUAAUGACUGCUAUGCGGAGGUGCUGCCUUGUUAGUCUUUAUAGCAACACCAUGAGGUGAGCUGAUUUAAUACUACA
rnacentral:lncRNA from 1 species